rnacentral:ribozyme from 14 species
GAGAGAAUGAGAGAGAGAGAGAGAGAGAGAGAAUGAGAGAACAGAAAAACAGAUUUACGGACACAGAUUGAUAAAGUUUCUUGUCACUCUGGAAGGUACUUUUGGAUUUUGCAUCCUUCUUUUUCAU